rnacentral:lncRNA from 1 species
CAUCAUCAUGUCAUUGUCCUACUUAAAAAAGGUUCACUGCAAAUGCUACUUUAUAAUACUGUCGAGCUUUGCCUAGAUGCAGAAACCACGUACACCAGGAAGUAGGACAGGACAGACUCAUUAGAGCUGGGUAGACUGUCACAUUGGCUCCGGUGGCCUGCAGUAUGAGCUAGAUUUUCAGUUCUUUGAAAAGAUUUAUUUUUAACGUGUGUAUGUGUACUUUGUUUGGCUGUAUCUCUGCCCUACAUGUGUGCAGGCCAGAAGAAGGCAUUGGAUCCCCUGGAACUGGAGUUACAGAGGUUGUUAGCUGCUCUGUGUGGGCAUUGGACCUGGGUCUGCUGAGAGAUCAGCCAGUGCUCAGACCCACUGAGCAAUCUCUUAGAUCCAGCUUUUUAAAAUUUAAAGCACCACUGGAAUUUCAUUGGAUCCCUUGGUACUUUUAAACCAUCAUAAUUUUUCUUAAUUCAGAUUAGCAUCAAGGUGACAGCCAGUGUCAUAUGUUCUCAACACGUGGACGUGUAGUUUACCAAUGCAUCGAGUCUGAGUUC